rnacentral:rRNA from 1 species
UCCAACCUCCCACCCGUGUCUAUCGUACCUUGUUGCUUCGGCGGGCCCGCCGUUUCGACGGCCGCCGGGGAGGCCUUGCGCCCCCGGGCCCGCGCCCGCCGAAGACCCCAACAUGAACGCUGUUCUGAAAGUAUGCAGUCUGAGUUGAUUAUCGUAAUCAGUUAAAACUUUCAACAACGGAUCUCUUGGUUCCGGCAUCGAUGAAGAACGCAGCGAAAUGCGAUAAGUAAUGUGAAUUGCAGAAUUCAGUGAAUCAUCGAGUCUUUGAACGCACAUUGCGCCCCCUGGUAUUCCGGGGGGCAUGCCUGUCCGAGCGUCAUUGCUGCCCUCAAGCACGGCUUGUGUGUUGGGCCCCCGUCCCCCUCUCCCGGGGGACGGGCCCGAAAGGCAGCGGCGGCACCGCGUCCGGUCCUCGAGCGUAUGGGGCUUUGUCACCUGCUCUGUAGGCCCGGCCGGCGCCAGCCGACACCCAACUUUAUUUUUCUAAGGUUGACCUCGGAUCAGGUAGGGAUACCCGCUGAACUUAAGCAUAUCAAUA